rnacentral:rRNA from 1 species
UACGUAGGGGGCAAGCGUUGUCCGGAUUUAUUGGGCGUAAAGAGCGUGUAGGCGGCUAGGCAGGUCCGUUGUGAAAACUCGAGGCUCAACCUCGAGCUGUCGAUGGAAACUAUCUGGCUAGAGGCCGGAAGAGGCGAGUGGAAUUCCCGGUGUAGCGGUGAAAUGCGCAGAUAUCGGGAGGAACACCAAUGGCGAAGGCAGCUCGCUGGGACGGUACUGACGCUGAGACGCGAAAGCGUGGGGAGCAAACAGG